AGUUCUAGAUCCGCCUGAUUUUUUGAUUCCUGUCCCAUUACAAUCUUGCGAAACUGAUAGAUGGAGUGAAUUUGUCACGAGAAUUUCUAUGGCCCCACAUAGCUUCCGACCAUAAGGAACUUCAGGUGGCCGGGGAACAGGCAAUUCGCCCCCAAUUAUUUCACAAGGGACCAGAUGAAUGGCACACAUGCUAAUGUGGCAUACGUGUGCGAAAUCCAGGCCUUUUGUCUGGAAACCGCCGAAGCGAAUGUGUCCUGAUUAAAAGAUCAGGCUGGUCCACACAUAGAAAAUCAAUGGAUGGUAAAUGGUCCAGAUUUGUCAGUGGAAAAUUCCAAAAUUUUAGGAUACGGCACAUUGAUCAUGGGGCCUGUUUGAUGGACGGCGCAGAUUUUGGCACGAGUGGGGCACUAUUCGUCUGCCCAGCUUAAUGUUAUAAUAGAACUUUCAUACAGGUUUAGUACUGUAUGUGAACGUACUGUUAUAGGAUAGCGGGUGGAUCUGAAGUCAUGUUCGGUGAUCGAAACCGUUGAUCUGAUGAGAAAUGCAAACGAUAAUGGUUGGCUGAAAUAUCUUCAAGAUUUAAAAUUUCCA